CUCUAUUCUACAGCAUUUCGACAAUUAUCAUGGAGCCAAGUUCCAAAGAAAAUUAGUGUAGCCAACAUAUCCCUCCAAACUCGGCUGCUAAAUUGUUGCUGCUACAAAUAAUAGGGUUCAAGAAAGCCAUAAUCAUAUCACAGUUCCAAUCCCUAAUAAUGCCGCGAAUACCAGCUCUAUUAGUUUCCAUGAAGAAGCCGCCUUUAGUGUUAAUCUUAACUGUGC
rnacentral:lncRNA from 1 species